CCCAGACUCCUACGGGAGGCAGCAGUGAGGGAUAUUGGGCAAUGGGGGGAACCCUGAUGCAGCGACGCCGCGUGGGUGAAGGAGUGCUUCGGCAUGUAAAGCCCUAUCGGCAGGGAAGAAGCAAGACGGUACCUGACUAAGAAGCCCCGGCUAACUACGUGCCAGCAGCCGCGGUAAUACGUAGGGGGCGAGCGUUAUCCGGAUUCACUGGGUGUAAAGGGGGCGCAGACGGCGAUGCAAGCCAGGAGUGAAAGGCCGGGGCCCAACCCCGGGACUGCUCUUGGAACUGCGUGGCUGGAGUGCAGGAGGGGCAGGCGGAAUUCCUGGUGUAGCGGUGAAAUGCGUAGAUAUCAGGAGGAACACCGGUGGCGAAGGCGACUUUCUGGACUGUACCUGACGCUGAGGCGCGAAAGCGUGGGUAGCGAACGGGAUUAGAUACCCCAGUAAUU
rnacentral:rRNA from 1 species